rnacentral:rRNA from 1 species
UACGGAGGAUCCAAGCGUUAUCCGGAAUCAUUGGGUUUAAAGGGUCCGUAGGCGGUCUAAUAAGUCAGUGGUGAAAGCCCAUCGCUUAACGAUGGAACGGCCAUUGAUACUGUUAGACUUGAAUUAUUGGGAAGUAACUAGAAUAUGUAGUGUAGCGGUGAAAUGCUUAGAUAUUACAUGGAAUACCAAUUGCGAAGGCAGGUUACUAUCAAUAUAUUUGACGCUGAUGGACGAAAAGCGUGGGGAGCGAACAGG